UACGUAGGGGGCUAGCGUUGUCCGGAUUUAUUGGGCGUAAAGAGCGUGUAGGCGGUUUGUCGCGUCUGCCGUGAAAGUCCGGGGCUCAACUCCGGAUCUGCGGUGGGUACGGGCAGACUAGAGUGAUGUAGGGGAGACUGGAAUUCCUGGUGUAGCGGUGAAAUGCGCAGAUAUCAGGAGGAACACCGGUGGCGAAGGCGGGUCUCUGGGCCGAUACUGACGCUGAGGAGCGAAAGCAUGGGGAGCGAACAGG
rnacentral:rRNA from 1 species